AGUGAACGCUGGCGGUAGGCCUAACACAUGCAAGUCGAACGGCCGCACAGUAAGAGCUUGCUCUUACGGGUGGCGAGUGGCGGACGGGUGAGGAAUACAUCGGAAUCUACUUUUUCGUGGGGGAUAACGUAGGGAAACUUACGCUAAUACCGCAUACGACCUACGGGUGAAAGCAGGGGAUCUUCGGACCUUGCGCGAUUGAAUGAGCCGAUGUCGGAUUAGCUAGUUGGCGGGGUAAAGGCCCACCAAGGCGACGAUCCGUAGCUGGUCUGAUAGGAUGAUCAGCCACACUGGAACUGAGACACGGUCCAGACUCCUACGGGAGGCAGCAGUGGGGAAUAUUGGACAAGGGGCGCAAGCCGGAUCCAGCCAUACCGCGUGGGUGAAGAAGGCCUUCGGGUGGUAAAGCCCUUUUGUUGGGAAAGAAAAGCAGCAGGUUAAUACCCCGCUGUUCUGACGGUACCCAAAGAAUAAGCACCGGCUAACUUCGUG
rnacentral:rRNA from 1 species